rnacentral:rRNA from 1 species
AGUUUGAUCCUGGCUCAGAACGAACGCUGGCGGCGUGCUUAACACAUGCAAGUCGAACGGAAUCCAUGCUGUAGCAAUACAGCGGAAGAUUUAGUGGCGAACGGGUGAGUAACACGUGAGCAACCUGCCCCAAAGACUGGGAUAACACCGGGAAACCGGUGCUAAUACCGGAUACCCUCAAUUGAUCGCAUGGUCGAAUGAGGAAAUGUAUUUCGCUUUGGGAGGGGCUCGCGGCCUAUCAGCUAGUUGGCGGGGUAACGGCCCACCAAGGCAACGACGGGUAGCUGGUCUGAGAGGACGAUCAGCCACACUGGGACUGAGACACGGCCCAGACUCCUACGGGAGGCAGCAGUGGGGAAUCUUGCGCAAUGGGCGAAAGCCUGACGCAGCAACGCCGCGUGAGGGACGAAGGCUUUCUGAGUUGUAAACCUCUUUCGGUAGGAACGAUUAUGACGGUACCUACAGAAGAAGCACCGGCCAACUACGUGCCAGCAGCCGCGGUGAUACGUAGGGUGCAAGCGUUGUUCGGAUUUAUUGGGCGUAAAGAGCUCGUAGGCGGUUCGAUAAGUCGGGUGUGAAACCCCCAGGCUCAACCUGGGGCAGCCAUCCGAAACUGUUGUGACUAGAGUUUGGUAGGGGAUCACGGAAUUAUAGAGAUAUGGUGUCCUUCGGGGCUCUACACAGCGUGGUGCAUGGCUGUCGUCAGCUCGUGUCGUGAGAUGUUGGGUUAAGUCCCGCAACGAGCGCAACCCUUGUUCUAUGUUGCCAGCACGUAAUGGUGGGGACUCGUAGAAGACUGCCGGGGUCAACUCGGAGGAAGGUGGGGACGACGUCAAGUCAUCAUGCCCCUUACGCCUAGGGCUGCACACAUGCUACAAUGGUCGGUACAGAGGGCUGCUAAGCCGCGAGGUGGAGCCAAUCCCUAAAACCGAUCUCAGUUCAGAUUGCAGGCUGCAACUCGCCUGCAUGAAGUUGGAGUUGCUAGUAAUCCCGGAUCAGCAUUGCCGGGGUGAAUACGUUCCCGGGCCUUGUACACACCGCCCGUCAAACCACGAAAGUUGGCAACACCCGAAGCCGGUGGCCUAACCGUAAGGAAGGAGCCGUCGAAGGUGGGGUCAGAGAUUGGGGUUAAGUCGUAACAAGGUCAGCC